CGGAGGUGCGAGCGUUGUCCGGAUUUAUUGGGUUUAAAGGGUGCGCAGGUGGCCCGGCCAGUCAGUGGUGAAAUGCGGCCGCUCAACGGUCGAACUGCCAUUGAUACUACCGGGCUUGAGAGGAGUGGAGGCUGCCGGAACGGACGGUGUAGCGGUGAAAUGCAUAGAUAUCGUCCAGAACGCCGAUUGCGAAGGCAGGUGGCUACGCUCCUUCUGACACUGAGGCACGAAAGCGUGGGAGCGAACAGGAUU
rnacentral:rRNA from 1 species